AAGCACUCUGGGCGAUGGGCCGGGGUAAUGCGGGGUGUGCUAGCGUUGGUCGGAAUGACUGGUCGUAAAGGUGUCGUAGGCGGCCAACGAAGUCGGACGUGAAAUCCCGCGGCUUAACCUGGGAACUGCGGCCGAUACUGGAUGGCUUGAGUUUGGGAGAGGGAUGCGGAAUUCCAGGUGUAGCGGUGAAAUGCGUAGAUAUCUGGAGGAACACCGGUGGCGAAGGCGGCAUCCUGGACCAAUACUGACGCUGAGUGAGCGAAAGCCAGGGGAGCAAACGGGAUUAGAUACCCCAGUAGUC
rnacentral:rRNA from 1 species